rnacentral:other from 1 species
CAUCCCCUGGAAGGUUCGUGAUCAUCGAGUACUUUUUUGAGCCAAUAUAGUCCCAACGGGAGCCGCUUCCAACCGGGCGGUGCGCAGACCCAGUCGCCUGGGGAGCCUGAAGUCCGGACAGUGGCGCCCACCUUGCAAAGCAAGGUUCAAAGAAGCUCAUGACACGGCUUUCCGGGGUUUUA